GACGAACGCUGGCGGCGUGCUUAACACAUGCAAGUCGAACGGAAAGGCCCUGCUUUUGUGGGGUGCUCGAGUGACGAACGGGUGAGUAACAAGUGAGUAGCCUGCCCUUGACUUUGGGCUCACUUCAGGAAACUGGGGCUAAUACCGGAUAGGACCUCCGGCUGCAGGGUGGGGGUUGGAAAGUUUGGGCGGUUGGGGAUGGACUCCCGGCUUAUCACUUUGUUGGUGGGGGGGUGGCUUACCAGGGCUUGGGCGGGUGGCCGGCCUGGGAGGGUGACCGGCCAAAUUGGGCCUGGGAUCCGGCCCGGCCUCCUCCGGGGGGCAGCAGUGGGGAAUAUUGCACAAUGGGCCGAACCCUGAUCAAGCAACCCCGCGUGCGGGAUGACGGCCUUCGGGUUGUAACCGGUUUCCGCCUGUGACGAAGCGUGAGUGACGGUACCGGGUAAAGAAGCACCGGCUAACUACGUG
rnacentral:rRNA from 1 species